UACGUAGGGUGCGAGCGUUAAUCGGAAUUACUGGGCGUAAAGCGUGCGCAGGCGGUCAGUUAAGUCUGAUGUGAAAGCCCCGGGCUCAACCUGGGAAUGGCAUUGGAAACUGGCUUGCUGGAGUGUGGCAGAGGGGGGUGGAAUUCCGCGUGUAGCAGUGAAAUGCGUAGAGAUGUGGAGGAACACCGAUGGCGAAGGCAGCCCCCUGGGCUGAGAUUGACGCUCAGGCACGAAAGCGUGGGGAGCAAACAGG
rnacentral:rRNA from 1 species